rnacentral:sRNA from 1 species
AAUAAAAUUGUAUAGAGAAACAUCUAUCUAUCACAAUGAAACGCCUGAUGAAGACAAAAUUAACUCUUACUUUUAAAUUUCGAACCCAGAAAAAAGCGUUUCCAAGGACGGAAGACUGUUAAUUUGUCCAUUCCACUAAGUGAAACAUCUUCCACCAAACUGUCCCACAUUGAUGAAUACAUUUCCUCAUCUCCAACCUACCAGACCGUGCCUGAUUUUCAGAGAGUGCAGAUUACUGGUGACUAUGCCUCUGGGGUUACAGUUGAAGAUUUUGAAAUUGUUUGCAAAGGUCUGUAUCGGGCACUAUGCACACGUGAGAAAUACAUGCAGAAGUCGUUUCAGAGGUUCCCUAAAACCCCUUCCAAAUACUUGCGGAACAUUGAUGGUGAGGCUUGGGUAGCAAAUGAGAGCUUCUAUCCAGUAAGACCUAUACCCACCGGC